GCUGGGCGUGGUGGUGCUCACCUGUAGUCCCAGCUACUCGGGAGGCUGAGAUGGGAGGAUUGCUUUUGCCUGGGAGGUCUAGGCUGCAGCAAGCCAAGAUUGUGCCACUGCACUCCAGCCUGGGCAACAGAGCAAGACCCUGCCUCAA
rnacentral:sRNA from 1 species